UGCAGUCGAACGGCAGCACGGGAGCUUGCUCCUGGUGGCGAGUGGCGAACGGGUGAGUAAUGCGUCGGAACGUACCGAGUAAUGGGGGAUAACGCACCGAAAGGUGUGCUAAUACCGCAUACGCCCUCCGGGGGAAAGCAGGGGAUCGUAAGACCUUGCGUUAUUCGAGCGGCCGACGUCUGAUUAGCUAGUUGGUGAGGUAAUGGCUCACCAAGGCGACGAUCAGUAGCGGGUCUGAGAGGAUGAUCCGCCACACUGGAACUGAGACACGGUCCAGACUCCUACGGGAGGCAGCAGUGGGGAAUUUUGGACAAUGGGGGCAACCCUGAUCCAGCCAUUCCGCGUGAGUGAAGAAGGCCUUCGGGUUGUAAAGCUCUUUCAGCUGGAACGAAACGGUACGCUCUAACAUAGUGUGCUAAUGACGGUACCAGCAGAAGAAGCACCGGCUAACUACGUGCCA
rnacentral:rRNA from 1 species